GGCCUGAUAGCACAGCGGCUAGUGCGUCUGCUUCAAGUGCGAAGUCCAUCCCGUAGCUCUCAGCUCUCAGCAGAAGACCCCCGUUCGACUCGGGGUCGGGCCA